rnacentral:misc_RNA from 1 species
AACAUGUUUAUUUCCGCUUCCGGCUUUACAACGUGCUUGCAGCAUGAAAAUAUUGUUAUGAGAGUUGUUUGACACUAACGGCACAUCCAGCAGCAUGGACAGGAUCGAUGAAUUGCGAACACGUGUUAAGUUGAACGAAUAUGGUGUUGACAAUGUACACAGCACUGACUUCCCUGGGAACUAUUCAGGGUAUGAUGAUACGUGGAGCCACAGCAAGUUUAAAAAGAAAUUCCGGAUUGAUGUUGUGAAAUUGGAAGGGGAUGUUUUGGAAUUUGAUAUGGUUGGUAUCGAUGCUGCCAUUGCAAAUGCCUUCCGAAGAAUUUUGCUUGCUGAGGUACCUACUAUGGCAAUAGAGAAGGUGUUUGUGUAUAACAACACAUCCAUCAUCCAAGAUGAGGUGCUAGCACACAGACUUGGCCUCAUCCCCAUCCAGGCAGAUCCAAGGCUGUUCGAAUACCGACAGGAAGGUGAGCUGGAGGGCACAGCCCAGGACACAGUGGAGUUCCAGCUGAAGGUCAAGUGUGCCAGAAAGCCACAGAGCAAGGAUGCUACUGACCCUGACGAGAUGUACAAAGACCACAAGGUUACAACGGAGUUCAUGAAGUGGAUGCCUAUAGGAGACCAGACCAGCAUUUUCAAACCAGGGGACCUGAAGCCUGUGGUAGAUGAUAUCCUCAUAGCUAAACUGCGGCCGGGCCAGGAGCUGGACCUCAAGUUACACUGUGUGAAGGGUAUUGGGAAGGACCAUGCCAAGUUCUCACCUGUGGCCACGGCCUCGUACCGCCUCCUGCCAGAGAUCCGACUGACUCAUCCUGUUGAGGGUGAUUCUGCUGAAGAGCUACAGAAGUGCUUCUCCCCGGGGGUCAUUGAUGUGGACAAUGUCCAUGGUAGGUCACACUUGCUGGGGGACUACAGAAGUGCUUCUCCCUGGGGGUCAUUGAUGUGGACAAUGUCCAUGGUAGGAAGAAGGCUCGUGUAGCACAUGCUCGUCGUGACACCGGCAGCCGUGAGGUCUUCAGACAUGAUCACCUCAAGGAUAAUGUCCAGCUCAGCAAAGUCAGAGAUCACUUCAUUUUUUGUGUAGAAAGCACUGGUGUGUUGCCCCCGGAUGCCCUGGUGGUGGAGUCCAUCAAGGUUCUCAUCGGGAAGUGUAACCGCUUCCUGCAGGAGAUGUCCGAUUCCAGCGGUGCCGGGGAUGCGUCAUGAUGUCGAGC